UACGUAGGGGGGCUAGCGUUGUCCGGAAUCAUUGGGCGUAAAGAGCGUGUAGGCGGCCCGGUAAGUCCGCUGUGAAAGUCGGGGGGCUCAACCCUCGAAUGCCGGUGGAUACUGUCGGGCUAGAGUGCGGAAGAGGCGAGUGGAAUUCCUGGUGUAGCGGUGGAAUGCGCAGAUAUCAGGAGGAACACCAAUAGCGAAGGCAGCUCGCUGGGACGGUACUGACGCUGAGGCGCGAAAGUGUGGGGAUCAAACAGG
rnacentral:rRNA from 1 species